rnacentral:rRNA from 1 species
UACGGAGGGUGCAAGCGUUAUCCGGAUUCACUGGGUUUAAAGGGUGCGUAGGUGGGCAGGUAAGUCAGUGGUGAAAUCUCCGGGCUUAACCCGGAAACUGCCAUUGAUACUAUCUGUCUUGAAUACCGUGGAGGUGAGCGGAAUAUGUCAUGUAGCGGUGAAAUGCUUAGAUAUGACAUAGAACACCAAUUGCGAAGGCAGCUCACUACACGAAUAUUGACACUGAGGCACGAAAGCGUGGGGAUCAAA